GUGAGUUAUAACCAACACUAACUGUUGGCUAUGUGGUAAAGCAGUCAACUGAUUUAUGAUGAGGAACAUACUACCAUUUUUAACUGGAGAAUGACAGUAAAUGGGCCCAUCUGCCUUGGAAAGCAGGAAUGGAAGAGCCUUGGCCUUAUCCCCUGUUGAGAGGCAGCACGCAGAGGAAGAGGCCAGCACAGUCAGACUAGAUGUCUGUGCCAGCCAUGGCUACUCUCUGGACCUAGAAGGAAGGCAAGAACUGUGCCUCCAAGUUGCUGAAUGCUUUCUUUGGCAAAACUGAAAAACAGCCCCUUAAGAAAUAGCUACCCUGUGUGCUGGAAGUUUGGUUUUGUAACAAGAUAGUGAAAUAGAUUCUAUUGCCUCUCUCGCUGUAGAAAUAUGA